AUUCUGUGGAGGAGGUGGGUCUCAGC
rnacentral:piRNA from 1 species